GCGCCGAUGGUUUAGUGGUAAAAUUCUCCGUUGCCAUCAAGCAGCGUCGGGGAGCCGGGGGUUCGAUUCCCCCUCGGCGCA
rfam:Colletotrichum incanum strain MAFF 238704 contig14, whole genome shotgun sequence.